rnacentral:rRNA from 1 species
AUUGAACGCUGGCGGCAGGCCUAACACAUGCAAGUCGAACGAGUGGCGGACGGGUGAGUAAUGUCUGGGAACCUGCCUGAUGGAGGGGGAUAACUACUGGAAACGUUAGCUAAUACCGCAUACCCUAGGAUGUGCCCAGGUGGGAUUAGGUAGUAGGUGAGGUAAAGGCUCACCUAGGCGACGAUCCCUAGCUGGUCUGCGAGGCUGACCGGCCACACUGGAACGGAGACACGGUCCAGACGCCUCCGGGAGGCAGCAGUGGGGAAUAUUGCGCAAUGGGCGCAAGCCUGAGGGAGCCAUGCCGCGUGUAUGAAGAAGGCCUUCGGGUUGUAAAGUACUUUCAGCGGGGAGGCGUUACCCGCAGAGGAAGCACCGGCUAACUCCGUGCCAGCAGCCGCGGUAAUUC